rnacentral:lncRNA from 1 species
GUCCUGGAGGCUUGUACGUUAUCAUAUCUUAGAAGAGUUCUGAUGCAUUACCUGAUCUGGUGGGUUGUCAUUCCUAAUUCCAGUAAGUUCUUUUACUAAGGUUCUCCUUUUGUAAAACAUUUGUUCUUCCAGUGUCCCGUGAGUACUUCUAUCUAUCUCCAACAUUUUUGGUAAAGUUUCUUCGGUGGAGUGGUUAUAAAUAAAAAUUAGUAAACAUAGAUAUAUUAUGGACUUCUAUAUGAUCAAUACCUACUAAUUUUGUUUGAUACCUGCCACGAAGUUCCCAGGUCUCGGGUAUAUCUAGAUUGGUAUAUAUUCUUGUUGCGCUAGUUGACUUUAGGCACAAACCUAUUUGAAGAAGAAUAAAUCGGUUAGAUUUAUUAUGUUGGUAUGGCAAAAUGACAUGUAAACAUAUUCGACUUACCUUUGAAUUUUUGCACCAUUGUUUAGAUAACAAUAAUAAGUGUUUACUUGCCAAUUACAUCCUCAAAUGAUGAGCUCAUCUUCCACAUAAUGAUACUCUAAUUUCUCACUCCUUAAUAAUUCAUAAUGAUAACAAUAAUAUAAGUGAAAGAAAGCAGUCUUUACCCUUUAAUGAGAACUGAGACGCAUGGAUAUACACUUACUCUGGCAUUAGAAUUUCAAUCUCACGCAUUUCUGAAGUUAUUUUUUUCUUUGUUGUCCUUGAUUCUAUUGGUAUAAUCUUGGUAAAUAACCCAAUGACAUCUACAAAGUUGAAGAUAAAUAACUUCAAAAUUAUAAAGUUAAUCAUUUGAAGUCCAUUAAUACAACUGCCAACAUAUGACUUCAAAUUAGAAGUAAUGACUUGGAGUAAGAUAUAUGACUAUCAACAUACCUGAGCAUUGUUGCUCUUUUUCUAGCCGUUCUUGUAGGUAUCUUUGCUAACAAACUCAAAGUAGUAAUCUGGGGAAUUUCGAGGAACCUUUCAUCUCCUUUAGGGUUGUAUUGUAUACAAAAAUAAUUUUAAUUUCAUUGCUAACUGGGUGAUAUUUUGUCGAAUCUGUAACUUUAAAAUUGCUAAAAGCAGAGAACCUUAGUUGAUAUUUUGUUUAUAAGUGUCAAUUAGAUUCUUUCAAAUAGUAGCAUGAACUGUAUCACCCUUAAAAAUUGAAUGAAAGAUAAUCUUAGAAGUAAGUUUUAAGAAUAGAAGAAACCCAUUGUUAAUAAUGUUAAGAAAAUACCUGCUCAUCCAUCAAGAUCAUAUCCAUGCUUAUAAGUUCAUCAGUCGAAGGGUUGAUUGAAUCCCACGUUCUCAUUACUUUUGCUUUCUUAUUCCAUGUUUGUCUGCUUCUUUUACGAUAAAGACUUAUUGCCUUCAAAACAAUUUUAAAAAGAGCGAUUCAUCUGAUAAUGCACUAAUGAAAUUUGGUUAAAAAACAGUGUUCUUCUAACUAAUCGAGAAUGAACAUCAAAAUAGGGUGUUCGCAAGGAAGUUCCGAAGACAGCAUGGGAUGUGAAGAUUUGAGCAGACAUUAAGCAGUUAUAUUACCCAAAGUUGAUGGUGUUUCUGUCGUUCCUUCUUCGGGGCCUUCGAUGUGCUGGGCGUUCUGCCGUCCCCUUCGGUACGCAAGGCAUCCUACCCACCUUACUGGUCCAACUGAUCGUCCUCGGCGCGUGUGGAUGUUGUUGUGUCGAUCUGCCUUCAAUCUGCUGUACUCGUGUUGUGAUGUGUGACGGCGUGUGUUGAUUCCCUAGGUGUACCAUCUUGUAUGAUUCUCUCUUGUGGGUGUGGCUUAUGUUAGUCCAAAGAUUACCGAGUUUGCAUUAACUACGGAUGAGUGUAUUGCGUUAGGAAACCAAUUCAUGUUCUUCUCAGUUUGUACGUGCAAUCAUCUAAUUUCCUUUUUUCUUCAUGCAAUGGUAUAUGCCAGUGUCCUUGCCUAAUAUGCACCUUGUGCUUCAUAGUUUCUAUGUGCAAUAAUAUAUGUAUAUGUCAGUGCCUUGCCUAAUAUGAUGCAAUAUUAUAGAAGGUGUUCCAGAACCGUGUCCACCAUCCAUACUCAUGUGCCAGUCGGACAUACUGGUCCGAUUUACUUUGGAUGGGUACUGCUCCGAUUAUUUUAAUUGGUCUAUUGUAAUUGUCUCCUGUCAUCAUAUAUCUAUUAAUAUAUCUAUUUCUACGUGACGG